GAUGAACGCUGGCGGCGUGCCUAAUACAUGCAAGUCGAGCGAACGGACGAGAAGCUUGCUUCUCUGAUGUUAGCGGCGGACGGGUGAGUAACACGUGGAUAACCUACCUAUAAGACUGGGAUAACUUCGGGAAACCGGAGCUAAUACCGGAUAAUAUUUUGAACCGCAUGGUUCAAAAGUGAAAGACGGUCUUGCUGUCACUUAUAGAUGGAUCCGCGCUGCAUUAGCUAGUUGGUAAGGUAACGGCUUACCAAGGCAACGAUGCAUAGCCGACCUGAGAGGGUGAUCGGCCACACUGGAACUGGGACACGGUCCAGACUCCUACGGGAGGCAGCAGUAGGGAAUCUUCCGCAAUGGGCGAAAGCCUGACGGAGCAACGCCGCGUGAGUGAUGAAGAUCUUCGGAUCGUAAAACUCUGUUAUUAGGGAAGAACAUAUGUGUAAGUAACUGUGCACAUCUUGACGGUACCUAAUCAGAAAGCCACGGCUAACUACGUG
rnacentral:rRNA from 1 species